CGACAAACACAUAAAAUACAUACAUAUAUAUAUAUAUAUAUAUAUAUAUAUAUAUAUAUAUACAUGAAAAACUAUUUAUGUGGGAUAGAAACAAAAAAAAUCGGGAAGUUAAAGAAAGUUUCGAGCCAGUGAUAAAUAGAACUGAAAUUUGACUGUACCAAUAUAUAUUUUUUUGUUCUAACAUGUGCAUAAACAUAUAGAGCAGGUAUAAAAAAAGUAGCAAGUAGGGUUAUGUAUGCUCAUAGCUUAAUAUAUUACUAUGAAAUUCUAAAUGCAUGCUUAGUGGAAUCACUACAUACAAUAACAAAGAUUAAAGACUAUACAAUUCUUGCUAAAGCAAAUUCUAUGGUACUGUUUGAAGGCUGCUAGUAGACUUGCAUUGUAUAGUGUAUAAUUUUUUUCAAACAAAUACUUAUUAUCACUUCUUUGCAAUCAUGAAAAGAUACAGUGCUUUCAACAGGGAAAAUAGCUGAGAUGCUUGGCUUGAAUAAAUGAAGACACUUAUACAAAUUAUGACUUAUGACAAAGUGUGACUUUUAAAAUAUUAGGCAUUUCUGCAUCAUUUGAUAUAGAAAAUAUUUGAUAUCUAAGCUAAAAAAGGCACUAUGGAAAGCACACUUAUUUGACAUACCUAAUGUUUUAAAGGUUCUUCUUUGAUAAGAUAAACUGCAUCUAUGCCACAUUUUAUUUAUACAUAUAUUUCUUUGUUUGUUUUCUGCAAAAACUACUGCUAUAUGGAAUUCAGUUCAAAUACAGAGCUCCUUAUUUUUUCAAACUUUAGUUAUCAACAGAUGUGCAUUGGGUUGCAUGUGGAAGGACCAUGCCAUCUCUUUGGGCUGGUUGCAAAAGAUGUACAAAAUACACGGGAAAUACCAAUGCUUGACAUCUUAAUGAAGAUUUGAAUGAAGUAAUUUGAUGAAUUCUUUAAUAUGAUACACUCAGAAUUGAGGUAUUGAAUAUUUUCUUGUGUUUAAUUCUUUUUUUUUCCAAGUUAGGCUGGGGCAAAUGAUCCAUUUUACUUCUUGCAUAAAGGCUGAACAACAUAAAGAAAGCCAGGUGAUGCCCCUUCCAGUAUCAGCAGACUGAUCACCCUGGCUUGCCCCAAGUCCAUUCAACUGUAAUCUUUCUCAGAGCUGAAUUAAACACGUUGGAUCAAAAAUCACCUUUUCUGCUACGGCUUGCCCCUCUUCCUAAUAGAAUCAUAGAGUGAUAGAAAGGCUUGGGUUAGUAGGGACCUUAAAGCCCAUCAGGUACAACCCCCUGCUAUGGGCAAGUUGCUGCUCACUACACUAGGCUUCUGGGGUGCUGCUUUUUAUCCUGAAGUGCCCAUGGCUUGUUGAGGACACAGUCCCCUAUAAACUUGGAUCUUGUGAAUGCCCACAGCCUGCCGUAGGUCCUUGCAUGGAGACGCUCUGCAGACCAGAGACACGGCUGUGCCUUGUAAACUGGGUUGAAUUGAAGGUGCUGCAGAGAUGUUGGAAUAGUGUUUUUCAGAUGAGCUUUCGUUAGUAGGAAAUAUAUUCAAAUGCCUUUCAUCAGUCUCUUCAGUGUUUCCAAAGUUCAUUUUAAGAGAUGUGCUGCCCGAGCAUCUCCCCAAAUAUCCCUGAAAUCACAAGAAAGCUCAGGCUGAGCGUCGCUCUGCGAUGCCCUGCCGAGUUCUGUCACAGCGUCCCGCGGAACUACCGCUGCCCCGGCCUGCCUUCCCGCCGCCUCAGCACCCCUCAGGCGCUCGCUGCGGGCGCGGCUCACUAAGCGGAGCGCCGUCCUGCGAGCUCUCCAAGUUUCCUGCUUCUCAGGCUUGAAGCUAAGCUGCCGCAUUACCGGCCCUCGGAUUUAAUUUCGACUUCCCAGACCUGCUCCCCGCUCGCUCCCCCCUCCCUGCAGCCGCUGCCCAACAGCCGCCGGCAGCAGGUGCGUGCGGCGCCGCUCCGUGCCGCCUGAGUCGUGCCCGAGGCAGUGACCACAGUGCACUGUUGCAUUAUUUGCAUGGCUAUUCCAGACAUGUGGAGUUCAGGAGGCAUCCCAAUGUGGAUGAUAUAGGAUGUCAGGCUGGAUUGUGUGCUAACUGUGGUGCAUCCAUUCUUCAUGCCUGCAUUUCUCAGAGUGCAGAAAGACACAGAAGAGCUGUCAGCACCAUAAACCUGAUCACAGCAGUUUUCUGAAAGUACCUUCUAGCACUACCGCGUCCAUAACCUCACUGAGCCUCUGGUCUGAGUUUCAAGGAGGAUUCAGAAUUGAUAGGGAAAAGAAGAAAUAACGAUACCAAUGCUCAAAGAUUGCCUAAAUGGUAUUGAAAGCUUCAUUGGAUCCAAUAUGAAGCUAAUAUUACUUCUUGGAUGGUGAAAAGAUGACAUACGUUGCUCUGCUGUUUUUGGUUGCAUGGAUAAUUGGGUAAAAGCUUUCUUCUGCCCCUUUAGAAUGUCUUCCGGAUAUUUACUGUUGGAUGCUCACGUGUACUGGUAUAAAAUAUACUUAUAAGCAUGAGCUGUUUCUGUGGAUCCAUGGAAAGAUUUAGGAGUUGGUAGCUCUCUACUGCAUGUUCCUGUUCUCUGUCAGUCCUUAUUCAGGUAGCCAGUAAACUGGGUGAAGUCCCAGUUCCAUGAUAGUCAGUGAAAAUUUAAUCUUAAUUAAAUUGAUGAUUUUUAGACCUUGAUUGAUUGCCUAGGCCUGCGUUUCUUUAUCUCUGACAGAGGAUAAUGAAGUUAAUAACAUUAUAAUGGA